rnacentral:rRNA from 1 species
ACGAACGCUGGCGGCGUGCUUAACACAUGCAAGUCGAACGAUGAAGCCCAGCUUGCUGGGUGGAUUAGUGGCGAACGGGUGAGUAACACGUGAGUAACCUGCCCUGGACUCUGGGAUAACCCCGAGAAAUCGGAGCUAAUACCGGAUAGGACCUCGAAUCGCAUGGUUUGGGGUGGAAAGUUUUUCGGUCUGGGAUGGACUCGCGGCCUAUCAGCUUGUUGGUGAGGUAAUGGCUCACCAAGGCGUCGACGGGUAGCCGGCCUGAGAGGGUGACCGGCCACACUGGGACUGAGACACGGCCCAGACUCCUACGGGAGGCAGCAGUGGGGAAUAUUGCACAAUGGGCGCAAGCCUGAUGCAGCAACGCCGCGUGAGGGAUGACGGCCUUCGGGUUGUAAACCUCUUUUAGUAGGGAAGAAGGGCUUCGGCUUGACGGUACCUGCAGAAAAAGGACCGGCUAACUACGUGCCAGCAGCCGCGGUAAUACGUAGGGUCCGAGCGUUGUCCGGAAUUAUUGGGCGUAAAGAGCUCGUAGGCGGUUUGUCGCGUCUGCUGUGAAAUCCCGAGGCUCAACCUCGGGCCUGCAGUGGGUACGGGCAGACUUGAGUGCGGUAGGGGAGAAUGGAAUUCCUGGUGUAGCGGUGGAAUGCGCAGAUAUCAGGAGGAACACCGAUGGCGAAGGCAGUUCUCUGGGCCGUAACUGACGCUGAGGAGCGAAAGCGUGGGGAGCGAACAGGAUUAGAUACCCUGGUAGUCCACGCCGUAAACGUUGGACGCUAGAUGUGGGGACCUUUCCACGGUUUCCGUGUCGUAGCUAACGCAUUAAGCGCCCCGCCUGGGGAGUACGGC